rnacentral:snoRNA from 1 species
AGCACUGUGUGGUAUCUGCAGCCCGCUGCACCAUCAGCUGGUUUGUUCAUAAGUCAGUGCUAAAGGAAGUCAGCAUCUGGCAUCGUUGGUCUCCAGGCGGUUCGUGCCUGGAGUCCUGGUGAUGUUGCUGAAACACGU